rnacentral:snRNA from 14 species
AUACUUACGCCUGGCGCACGGGGGGAUACCGUGAUCAAAAGGGCGGUGGCCUCGAACAGGACGACGAGGCCUGUACAUUGCAACUCCGUAUGGGCUGACUCCUGGCGACUACCACCACGCAAAAUCGGGGGCUGCGAGCGCAUAAAUUUUUGGUACGUGGGGAACAAGCGUUGGCGCUGUCCCUUU